rnacentral:tRNA from 1 species
GCCGACAUCGGUGAGGCGCACCCCCGCCCCGUUGCGGUAGGCCACGACGAUGUCGCGGUAGUCGGCGGCGGUGCGGCCCUGGUCGUUGGCG